rnacentral:rRNA from 1 species
UACGUAGGGGGCUAGCGUUGUCCGGAAUCAUUGGGCGUAAAGAGCGUGUAGGCGGCCCGAUAAGUCCGCUGUGAAAGUCCAGGGCUCAACCCUGGAAUGCCGGUGGAUACUGUCGGGCUCGAAUCCGGAAGAGGUGAGUGGAAUUCCUGGUGUAGCGGUGAAAUGCGUAGAUAUCUGGAGGAACACCGGUGGCGAAGGCGGCAUCCUGGACCGGCAUUGACGCUGAGGCGCGAAAGCCAGGGGAGCAAACGGG